rnacentral:lncRNA from 1 species
CUCCAGGUAUUUAAUGCAGAAACUGCAUGGUCCUUGUCGCUCGAGCAAGAUUAAUGUAAGCAACAAUUUUCAUAUAAAAGUAUGAUUAAGAAUAUAGGUAUAUUCAUGUCCUAUUUAAGGAAGAGGAACUUGAAGGUAUAAUGGUAAGAGGAAAUACCAAGAAGGAGAGUUCUUCAUCUAGCCAGUUCACAAAUGACACUAGAUCCUCGAUAUUGGUAAAUGAAGCAGCACGAACUUCAGUUGCCAAUGACUCGACAAAUUCACCUUGACUUUCCACAUCAGCUUUCACCUGGUUUUGCACAAGUCUCCAUUGAGUCAGAAUAGGUUAAUAAGCACAUGCAUUAUUCAAAGGAGUAAAAGAGAAGUUGUACAUACAGCUAACAGGAAUGUGGAUCUGUUCUCUAUCUCUCCGAUCAUGUUGCUUCUUGCAUCUGAUGUGUUUGAAGUAGAGGAUAUCAAAGGUGAUGAUGUAUCCUUCUUCGCCUCGCGUUUCAUCAAUGAUUGGUAGAAUUCAACUAAUUCAGGAGCGCGAUGGACCUUAUCACCUCCAGCUCCUCCUUUCAUUAGAGAUCCAGGAGGAGGAGGUGGUCUAGGAGCUCCUCCACCAGGUGGCGGCGGCGGUGGUGGAGCACCAGGCGGAGGAGGUGGUGGGGGUGGACCACCAGGUGCCCCACCUGUAACAUUAUUACCAGCUGGAGCGGGACCACCUGCUGAUCGUGUAGGAGGUGGACGAGGAGUCCUAGGAGGUCUUUUCUCAAUAUUAAUUGGUUUCAUUUUGCUAACUGCUUGAGAGUCAGUUUUGCUAUCACCGGACUGCUCAACUGAGUCACCAGAGGCAGAGACCACUGGCGCUGAUGCUGAUGCUGAUACUGAUACUCGCUUCUCUUUCAAUUGAGAAAGUUUCGGGGGCAAGGACUUCUCAAACCUUGCUGCUCUUGCUUGCUCGGCCUUUACCUUAAUUUGCUUCUCUCGCUCUACUGCCAGCUUAUGCCUAUCUUUGAAUGCAGGAUACUUCUCAUCUAGAACUCCUUCAACUGAUUUAGACAUUAGCUGGAAGGAUGAUGCAACUGAGUUCAGUGGCUCAGCAGAAGAAUCUUGUGUCCUAAUCGGUGGAAGCCGCGGUGUUUCAGGGGAAUCAUAUUCCUGCUCAGCUGUUCCAAAACUAGUGAUGGCUACACCAUCACCUGCAUUUCUGAGCAUUAGUGAUUCCAGAGGACCCCUUGAUCUAAAACUUACACUUGUCCGGCCCGGAGAUGCUCCCCCAAGAGAUCUUGCUGGUGAAGACAUAACACUGGAAUCGUCUUUACUUUUGCCCCAUCUCUUCAACUUCUGGAUUAGGCCAGGCUUUUUACUGAAAGCACUAAAUCUGCUUGUGGAACUGUCAAUAGAAGCAUUAUCAAAGUCUUCACUACCGGGAGAAGAUGGCUGCGAAAAAUUGCUUUCAAGAUCUGUAUCUCCUUGGCCACGUUCUGAUCCUGCGUAUUCUAACAUCAACUGUUUGGCCUUCUGUUGAGAUCUUGGGCUCAGGUUUUUACUGAGAUCACGAGCUGAUACCUUUCCUUGAGGUGUUUGGUAGUUCCGAAGUUCAAAUCUUAAGCAUGCAUUGACCCAACGAAGAUACACUAGCUCUUCAACUUCACUGAAUCUGUUCAUUUGAAGUCCUUCUACUUGUUUUAGAAGAUCCUCAUUUGUAUGCUUCAAAUUAGUUACCUCUUCCCUGACCUGGGCAACCAUUUCAUUCUGAAGCAGCAUGCCAAAGACAAGUCAGUAAUUAAAUAGCAUCAGUUCACACACCAACCAAACGCAUCACCAAAUGAAGCUCUUCAGAAGCUAAGAAUCUCCAAUGGUUAAGUGGUGGGAGCUCAACACGAUAAUUAACAUAGAAGAAAUUAAUGAGCAUAAUAAACAGCAAAACAUAGCAAUGACAAUUACGAUAAUUACAAGAAACCAUAAUGUGGGCAUGUUUCACUGGAGUAUUCAACGGACUCAACUACCUUAUGAGCGUGGCGUAAAAAGGGAAGUAAUCAGAAAAAGGGGGUCAAUAAGGUGCUCAGAGUCGGCUCUACAUUUCCAAAACAUUUUUGCAGACUUGAAAAGUAGAAAGAAGAUGCUUAAAGAAAGAAAAGCUAUACGCAGGAAACACACAAAGAUUGUCCUAAAGAUCAAUUACAUGAAAAAUACUGGUAUCAGGAGUUAAAUUUACCUCUGUCAUAUUGGAUAAGUUUGCUACUUUAGAUUCAGCGGCAUCCAAUUUUAUAACCAACUCUCUCUUUUCAUGCUGAAGUUCUUUGUUCUUCCUCUUAAGCUCCAUAACCUCCACUUCUAAUUCCUUCACAAGUCUAAGCUUCUUGUCAACCUCGACAUCUCUCUUGAAAGCAUCCUCUUCCUUUUCUUGAAGUCCACUAACAUGUUGCUUCAGCAACAACAACUGAGCUUUCGUUUGGUUAGCUUCAAGCUGCAUCUGCCUCUGCAACUCCUUGAUCUUGCUC